rnacentral:ribozyme from 14 species
CAUUUCAACAACAGUAAUGGUAUGCGCAUCAUUGAUCGCCUUCUUCUUUUUUUUUUUUAAGAAAAAAAAAAACAAACAAAAAACAAAACACUGCUGCAUUUUUUUCGCGGUUCAUAAUAACAUGCGCGGAUUCUU